UCCAGGCAAGUCCUGGUCAAAGUUGGAAAAAUCCUUUGUCUGAAGAUUUGCAGGCCAGGGGCCGGGAGAGAGACAAGUACCAGCUUAAUGGCCGGGAAGUGGUCUUUUGUGUGGGCUCAUCUCGAGGGAGAUAGCCAUGUCGGGGGUGCUGCGCAUGGCUCCUAGCAAAGUGCCCAGGAAUGCCACGUAUGCAGAAGAAGAAGGAUAAAAAAGGGACCUACAACCAAGAGAGGGAGAAGUCUUAAACCAAAUGGCAUUUGUGACCAAGCAGAGAAUUUUUGGAGACACCUCAUCCUCAAGUCAGUGCAUGCCCAAAAGCAAGUUCAUUUCUAACAGCGAAUUAACAGCAGAGACAUGAUCCUCCACCUUGAUCACCGGGAUUCUUGGCUCAGGGAGAAUUGUUUUCUGGAGAAAUCCUGGAGUUCAAAAAAGGCCUGAAGAAUCAUGUUGCCUACUUUAAGACAGAGAUUGGGUGGGAGGAAGGAAACCAGAUGAAUUGUGUUGCCUAAACAAUUUGUUAUGAAUUAUCCAGUCAACUGUAAGGAAAACAUAUGGACUAAAACUUCAAGAAAUUCCUCCAGCGGUUUAAAAUCCGAGCGAUGCUGAUAUUGAUCGGGUGUAUUUUAUGCAGCUUGGCUAAAUGAUGCUGCAGUGGCAGGAAAGGGCACCUGAGAGGACUGGGAUGGCAAAAAAUCCAGUGUACAAACCAGAAACUGUUUGAACUGGAGCUUAUGAUUGGGAGUGUGCAAAGUUAUUGAUAUUUUUUAAAGUGAAGGUCUUGUUUGGGAGAUAGUUAAGAACACAACUGACGCACAUUUCUAGCUCUGUUAUGCCCAUACCUAAUUGCUGCUAUGCACUAUUCCUGCGAAAGUUUAAUUUUUGCUGUUGAAAUUGCCUUUCUCAGCUUUUUCUUCAAUGGUUGAAGGAGAACACUGAACAAUGAGUUGACAAAGACUGAAAAAAGAUGUAUUUGCAUGGAAAUUACAGACCUUGAUGUUGAGGGCUCUCAAAUUCUAUAAACAAAAUAUACACUUAUGAUAGUAAUGGAAAAACUAUCCCCAAAAGGAAAACGUGAGAGUUUCAGAAUUUCGGCAAAAACCAAAAAGAGCCAUUUUCAUUCCAGCAGAAGCCUUCAAAAUGCUGUGUUUUAUUCAGACUCUGGGAAGAACAGCUGAGCCCUCUGAAUGCCCUCUGCCUCCCGAGGAGCCGAGGCUCCUCCUGCCGUGCCCCCGAUGGGCUGGGACGGGGCUGUGCCCUCCCCACGAAUGCCACCACCAAUUAAACCACGGUGAUGCAAAUGCAGAGCACGGCGCAGGGAACUCUGCUGCCUGCAUAAUGGCCGCCAUCGCCACCUGCAUCCCGUCACUCUCCUCCAGAGCACUGAAAUUACCCCUGGGACCAGUUUCUUGGUGGGACACCCCCCGGCACCACCGCCUCCAGCAAGCUCAUUGAGUUCUUAAAAACAGCAGAGACUUGCCUGUUUGCAGAAGCGAGGAUUCGGCAGGCGGCCUUCACUGGAGAGGGAGCCCGUGGGUUCUUACACCAGGAAGAAUCAUAAAAUACACUCAGUGUGGAGAGUGCGCAAUUUGACAAAGACAAUUUGAUUUUUCCAUGGCUUUUAAAAUAUUCAUACCGCUUUGAUGGACUAUAGUUUUAUAAAUAUGGAUUGCCACUAACUGGAGCAGGCAGUCUGCCCACAGAUAGCGUUGAGUGAGGCUUGUUUGAAAUGGAGGCCCCCAAUAAACAAAAUCAUUAUCUCUGCCUAAAAACCCUAAUCCGUAAUGUCUGGCUCAUUUGCAGCUCAGAGGUCAGUAAUUCACUUCAAUUGCUUAUGUCUUUGUGUCAUUGGGAAGGAAAGGGAUUUCGUGGUGUUACUCCUCGGACCCAGAAAGUGCCUCUGGCACUGGGAGGUGGGCAUGGGGCAGCGCGUGGGCAGGGGACAGCGCAGCAGGGCAGGGACGGAGCAGGUACAGCCAAGAGCCAGGAGCAGCCCCGGGGGAGCUGGGAGGGCCAGCCCCUGUUCUGGGUGGGAAACGCAGCCAGGGCGGAGAGGGGCAGGCAGCAGAACUUCACCGCUGCACCCGUCAGAGCUACGCUGGGUCUUUCAGAUAAGGAAAAGCAAAGAUGCUGGUAGUAAAACAAAAAAAAAAAAAAUAGAGUUGAAAUCCAGGGAAAACAGUGACAAGAGUCAAUAUUGCUUUUGUUGGCUUCAGAUCAACACCAAAGUCUGAGAACAAGGUAAUGAGCAUGUUGCACACAACUUCAGGCUUGUUGGAGCAACAAACCAAGAAUUUGCAUGUUCUUGGCAGAGAGCUUUUUCUGCACCGUGCGUGCGGCCACAGGCACGCGGGAAAGCACUCGUGACUGCGGUGCGCUGCCUGAGAGCUGCAACUGGCACAGAACGGCUCUGAGCCGCCAGCAGUAAUUCAACUCGUGAAGUAGCUCCGGUUUCCAGCCCAAAAGUUUAUUCAAGUUAAGAAAACACAUCCUCAGAUUAAAAAGAGUAUCGCACCACUGUCAAUUUUCAGACGUUGCCAUCAGGAAAAAAAAAAUUACAUUUCAGGCUGACGAGCGACUAAUCAAGGCAAGUGAAACGGUGCUGCAAUAAAUUACUCCGCAGCGAAAUAAACCACACAAACAGACCGAUGAUAAUAAAUGUAAAUUAUUUCUCUGAAGAAAUUUUCUUGGUAUAUGAGUAAUACGAACCAUCAGGAAGGAGUCUUCCUUAACAUUAAUUACAGAAAAUGACAAGUGAGCUGAUGACUGCGAAGGCUCAUUAUCUGAGAACAUAUUCACAACUUUGCAAUUUGCGCGAGAUGUACUCGGGCUAAAUUAAUCUCCCUUCUUUGCAUGAGCCUCUUCUAAUUUUCAUGUUAUUAACAGGUUUGCAGUAUCACUCAGUGCUUGUCACUCUAAUCAGGUUUCGGCAUGUUCGCAAAAGCGAAGUGUCAUUUAUAAGGAUAAGCCCUCAUAAUGGCGCUCUCUUUCAUGUGGAGAAUUCUACAAGGUUGCUUUUAAUAAGGUCCUUUAAUCAUCUCCCUUUGCUCAACUUUUGGCCCCUCUGUUUUUUC